rnacentral:snRNA from 1 species
GACAACAAGGGCAAAGCAGGAGGCAUCACAAACCUAGACUUGUGUUAUACUGCAGGCUAGGUGGGUGUCGGCUUCCUCCCUUGCUGUACCAUACGUGUCCCUCCCCACGCCGCACGCUUGGUCCAAGAAGAUACCUUCCAACCCUACAGAGGAGGACGAUUUCCCAGGUCAAGGGUAUACAAGUAGCUGCACUCCCCUGCUCAAACCACCAAACAAGCUCUCAAGUUACACUGCAGUGAUCAACACAGCAUGGCAUUGGCACAAAAACACAAAAGUCAAUAGCAUUCAUGU